rnacentral:lncRNA from 1 species
GGCCCGCGGCCCCGCUGCCUGCCCUGCUCCAGGCUCCACCUGCGCCGCCGAUCGCCCGGGUAUCGCGGGGGCCCAGGCCAGCUGAGUCCGUUUUCCGCGCCGGGGUGGCGCCCCUCCAACCGUCCUAACGCCGGGCCGGCAGCAAGGAGUGUUCCUGGGACCUCAGAGACCAGGCUCAGAGCCUGACAUCCCUGCGAGGGGACAGCCUCAUCCGCCCAGGCCAGUGGGGGUCUCUACAAGUGCCCAGGCUCAGGUGCAGCCCCCAGCAAUGCAUCGCCGGAGACUGGCCCUGGGUCUGGGGUUCUGCCUGUUGGCGGGCACAAGCCUCAGUGUCCUGUGGGUGUAUCUUGAGAACUGGCUGCCAGUCUCCUAUGUCCCCUAUUAUCUCCCCUGCCCAGAGAUCUUCAUCCUUGCAGCCCCCUGCAUGGUCUGACCGUCCACAUGUUGCACAGCUGUGAGCCUUGCUUGCUGUGUCUGGCCACUGAGAACACAGAGUGCAAAGAUGCCCAUAAACAGCCUGCUGUUGCUCCCGGUGACCAGCAGGGGUUGUGUUCAGUGCUUUUAGGACUUGACCUUGUUGCUCAAUUUUGUGUUCCAUGGAUUCAAGGAACAAAUGAACAUGUGACCAAA